UCGUCAGUGCGGUAUAUCCUGACCUGCCCCGCCCAUGCGGGCAGCACGUGAUGAGCGCGACGCGAUGACGUCAGUGAUUACGUCAACGCGGGGGCGCGGGCUGCGCAACAACGGCCCGCGCUGCCAUUAACUCUGAC
ensembl:snoRNA U8 U8 small nucleolar RNA